rnacentral:rRNA from 1 species
UGGGAUAAGCGUUGGAAACGACGUCUAAUACCGGAUACGAGCUGCGAAGGCAUCUUCAGCAGCUGGAAAGAACUUCGGUCAGGGAUGAGCUCGCGGCCUAUCAGCUAGUUGGUGAGGUAAUGGCUCACCAAGGCGUCGACGGGUAGCCGGCCUGAGAGGGUGACCGGCCACACUGGGACUGAGACACGGCCCAGACUCCUACGGGAGGCAGCAGUGGGGAAUAUUGCACAAUGGGCGAAAGCCUGAUGCAGCAACGCCGCGUGAGGGACGACGGCCUUCGGGUUGUAAACCUCUUUUAGCAGGGAAGAAGCGAAAGUGACGGUACCUGCAGAAAAAGCACCGGCUAACUACGUGCCAGCAGCCGCGGUAAUACGUAGGGUGCAAGCGUUAUCCGGAAUUAUUGGGCGUAAAGAGCUCGUAGGCGGUUUGUCGCGUCUGCUGUGAAACCCCGAGGCUCAACCUCGGGCCUGCAGUGGGUACGGGCAGACUAGAGUGCGGUAGGGGAGAUUGGAAUUCCUGGUGUAGCGGUGGAAUGCGCAGAUAUCAGGAGGAACACCGAUGGCGAAGGCAGAUCUCUGGGCCGUAACUGACGCUGAGGAGCGAAAGGGUGGGGAGCAAACAGGCUUAGAUACCCUGGUAGUCCACCCCGUAAACGUUGGGAACUAGUUGUGGGGUCCAUUCCACGGAUUCCGUGACGCAGCUAACGCAUUAAGUUCCCCGCCUGGGGAGUACGGCCGCAAGGCUAAAACUCAAAGGAAUUGACGGGGACCCGCACAAGCGGCGGAGCAUGCGGAUUAAUUCGAUGCAACGCGAAGAACCUUACCAAGGCUUGACAUAUACGAGAACGCUGCAGAAAUGUAGAACUCUUUGGACACUCGUAAACAGGUGGUGCAUGGUUGUCGUCAGCUCGUGUCGUGAGAUGUUGGGUUAAGUCCCGCAACGAGCGCAACCCUCGUUCUAUGUUGCCAGCACGUAAUGGUGGGAACUCAUGGGAUACUGCCGGGGUCAACUCGGAGGAAGGUGGGGAUGACGUCAAAUCAUCAUGCCCCUUAUGUCUUGGGCUUCACGCAUGCUACAAUGGCCGGUACAAAGGGCUGCAAUACCGUAAGGUGGAGCGAAUCCCAAAAAGCCGGUCCCAGUUCGGAUUGAGGUCUGCAACUCGACCUCAUGAAGUAGGAGUC